rnacentral:tRNA from 1 species
UCCCAAGUGGCUCAGUGGGUAAAGAAUCUGCCUGCAAUGCAGAAGACAGGUUCGAUCCCUAGGUUGGGAA